GGACCCGGCUGUGAGGGUCGCUGAAGAUGUAUGCCCGGGGGCGGCACAUCUUGCAGAUGGCAAGGCCUGUGAGGCCGGCACCACUGCCAAGUUCUAGGACAGUCCUGGCGGGAGGAAAGGGGACCGUGUCUUCGACUGCACCAGGGUAAGCCUGCCUUGGUGCCCUGCCCUGUGCCCCGAGGUCACCUGUUAGUGAAGGCUGCUGGGUUCUCGAUGGCCCAUUCUGCAAGGCAGAGGGUGGCGUCCCAUGUGACCAGGCCUGUGGUACCGUGAGAGAUGAUGGCUGUGCUCUCGGAGAUUGUGACCGAGCCUCCCGAGGGCUGCACCAAGAGAGGGCGAGAGAGUCAGUCCAGCGAUCAGAAGGCAAGUGGCUUAGAAGACAAGUAGCCAUCCACCACAUGGCUGAAUAAACCAUGACAGGACCAAUCGCCACUCAGCAAUGAGAAGCAGCUAACUGUUGACAUACCAACAGCUUUCACGGGCCUCAAGAUUGUCACGUGGCAUGAAAGACACUCAUCUCAGGCCACACAGGAUUCCAUUCAUCGAACAUUCCUGAGACAACGGAAUUCUGGCGAUGGAGCACAGGAUGCUUCACAGUCUACGGCAAAGGACAGAACGUUGGUUGCUCGAGAGCCCGUCUUAAGUCUCCUAUGAGCUUCAAGCCAACACAACAGAGGGCAAACUCCAGGCUACCUGAUCCCUCAGCAAAGAUGCAGAUGGACACAGCGUUCUGGCCCCACGCAUCUGAAGUUCGUCUUAAGAUGUGUGAAAGCCUCAGCGCAUGAGCCAAUUCUGUGCAGUGCUCGACAUACAGAUGAGAACACUGAGGCACGAGGCACAGCCUGUGAUCUGGCCACCGCGCUCAGGAGGAGGUGGUUACCCGCGGGCCUGAGGGCGCUGACUUUUUAGAAUGGGCGAGUGCAGCUGUGUCCCAGUGUCCCAGUGACCAGAACGAUUACUGCCUUU
rnacentral:lncRNA from 10 species